CGGGGCGUAGCUCAGCCUGGUAGAGCACUUGCUUUGGGAGCAAGGGGUCGCGAGUUCGAAUCCCGCCGCCCCGACCA
rnacentral:tRNA from 2 species